rnacentral:rRNA from 1 species
UGCAGUCGAACGGCAGCACGGGAGCAAUCCUGGUGGCGAGUGGCGAACGGGUGAGUAAUAUAUCGGAACGUGCCCAGUCGUGGGGGAUAACGCAGCGAAAGCUGUGCUAAUACCGCAUACGAUCUCUGGAUGAAAGCGGGGGACUCGUAAGAGCCUCGCGCGAUUGGAGCGGCCGAUAUCAGAUUAGCUAGUUGGUGGGGUAAAGGCCCACCAAGGCGACGAUCUGUAGCUGGUCUGAGAGGACGACCAGCCACACUGGAACUGACACGGUCCAGACUCCUACGGGAGGCAGCAGUGGGGAAUUUUGGACAAUGGGCGCAAGCCUGAUCCAGCAAUGCCGCGUGCAGGAUGAAGGCCUUCGGGUUGUAAACUGCUUUUGUACGGAACGAAAAGGUUUGCCUUAAUACGGUGGGCCCAUGACGGUACCGUAAGAAUAAGCACCGGCUAACUACGUGCCAGCAGCCGCGGUAAUACGUAGGGUGCGAGCGUUAAUCGGAAUUACUGGGCGUAAAGCGUGCGCAGGCGGUUAUAUAAGACAGAUGUGAAAUCCCCGGGCUCAACCUGGGACAUGCAUUUGUGACUGUAUAGCUAAAGUACGGUAGAAGGGGGAUGGAAUUCCGCGUGUAGCAGUGAAAUGCGUAGAUAUGCGGAGGAACACCGAUGGCGAAGGCAAUCCCCUGGACCUGUACUGACGCUCAUGCACGAAAGCGUGGGAAGCAAACAGGAUUAGAUACCCUGGUAGUCCACGCCCUAAACGAUG